CUGUCUGUAACUCUACCUGUCAAAUAAAUAAAAUCUUUAAAAAAUAUUUAUUUAAUCAUUUGACAGGCAGAGUUACAGAGAGAGAGAGAGUGAGAGAUCUUCCAUCUGCUGGUUCACCCCCCAAAUGGCUGCAAUGGCCAGAGCUGUGCCAAUCCAAAGCCAGGAGCCAGGAGCUUCUUCUGGGUCUCCCACGUGAGUGCAGGGGCCCAAGAACUCAGGCCAUCUUCUGUUGCUUUCCCAGUCUCAUCCCCAGUGGAGCAGCUGAGACUCAAACCCAUGCUCAUACGGGAUGCUUGUGUCACAGGCAGCAGCUUAAAGCGCUGCACUGUGAUGUCAGCCCCACUUUAUGGCAAGUUUUGAAGUCAGGUACUGUCAGUCUCCAACUAUGUUCUUCUUCAGCAUGGUGUUGGCUCUUCUAGCUCUUUUGCGUCUCCAUGUAGAGUCAGUUUGUCAGUAUUCAUAAAAUAAGUUGCUGGAGUUUGGAUUGGAAUUGUCUGGAAGCUAUGGAUGAAGCUGGGAAGGACUCACCUCUUGACAAUGUCAAGUCUUCUCGUAUUGGUCUGUUUUCCAUUACUAUCAUGAAACGCCUGAGGCUGGCUGGCUUUCUCUCUCUCGCUCUCUCUCUCUCUCUCUUUUAGAGACUUAUUUUUUUAUUUGAAAGCCAGUGUCACAGAGAGGCAGAGAGAGAGAGAGAGAGAGAGAGAGAGAGAUUGAGGUCUUCCAUCUGAUGGUUCACUCCCCAGAUGGCUGCAACGGCCAGACGUGCAGCGAUCCAAAGCCAGGAGCCAGAAGAUUCUUCUGGGUCUCCCACACGGGUGCAGGGGCCCAGGGACUUGGGCCAUCUUCCACUGCUUUCCCAGGCCAUAGCAGAGAGCUGGAUCAGAAGUGGAGCAGCUGGGACUUGAGGCAGUGCCCAUAUGGGAUGCCUGCACUGCAGUUGGCAGCCUUACCUACUACGACACAGAGCCAGCCCCCAGCCUCUAUUUUCCUUGAUAGAAAUCAAACACCUAUCCAAGAGAGUACAUCUAACAUAGAAAAAUUCAGAAAGUGGCAACCACAGGGUGAUUCCAAAAUGCUUGUGCAGACGGCCUUCAGGGUGGUAGAAAUGCUAAUGCUGGCAUUUUCGAUUUGGCGCAUUAUGGGGAAGCCUGAAUAUGAGUUUUAAUUGGAACAAGAAGAAGCUUUGAGGAGACUGAGCCCUGUUCAAAAUGAAAACUGAAAAGAAUUAACUGGAAAUUAUAGCUGCUGAAAAUUCAUGUGUAAAGGCAAUAUUAACAUUGCUGGACCUCAGAUUCUAAGAAUAUCAGAGUGACUUUUGACAGAAGAGUCAUUACCUUUGUCAGGAACUGUCUAGAAGGAGCAGCAAUCUACUCAAGUUAUCACAAGUCUGAAGUUAGAAUUUUUCUCAUAUCCCCGGUAUGGGAGGUAUAACCGGGCGCCGUGAGGUGCUGCAAUCAGGAAUUGGACGGUCAGAAAUGAUGUGCUAUGAUCUAUGCUAUCUUCUUCCCUGCCCCAAGCAUCAGUGUGACUGUCUCUGGACAUCAGGCCUUUAAAGAGGUAAUUCAGACAAGACGAGGCCCUACAGGUGGCUGUCAUUCAAUGACUGACCUUACCCGGAGGGGUUAGGACAUAGACACGGUUACAGAACGGCCUUGCGAAGACGCAGGGAGAAGGUGGCCAUUAGCAAGCCCAGCAGAGAGAGGUGUCGUGAGGACACAGCCCUGCCACACUGUGAUCUCAGGCUUGCAGUUCCCGGGACUCUGAGAAGACACAUCCCCGGAAGCCACCCUGGUCUGCGCCACUACGCUCUGGCAGCCUGGGUAAACGGACACGUGGAGACCACAGGGCACAAGUCCCCUCUACGGAGCCGGCGAUCUCUCUUUUCAGCGUUUCUUGCUCAUUUGCUUCACUGAUCUGUACCCGCAGACUUGCUUUCUCUGAUGUGGGAUGAGCAUGACAGAAGUGGUCUCCUUAGUCCAGAUUCUGGGUGACCUCUCCCAGUGCCAGUGCCUCAAACCAACCACACAAAGUCUCCCAAAGGGAGAAUCUGACUAAUUCAGCGGGGCCCAGUAUUCAUCCCCAUAUAACAGGAGCUGUGGCUUUAGGGAGACGAGAGUCAUGUGAUGGAAACGCGGACACCUGGCCAUCCCCACCUGUCUGAGAUACUGGUAAUGACUAAUUCACAUGAGGAGUUCCAGGACAGGCAGGCAACCCAUCGCGACCUACUACACUGACCCUAAGCAGAGCCUUCAAGAUGUAAGUACAACAAUCAGACCAAGCCAUCACCGAUGGGCCACUGGGGCUGGACCACACUUCUUGUAUCUCCUUCCUUUAGCUUAAACAGCAAGAUGCAAUGGAGGGAGGACAGGACUCCACAGCUUAUUCCAAAAGGCCUGCAAAUCAGUGAUGACUUUAGCCAAAAACAGAGACUAGGAUUGAAUCUGUCACCCCCACACACAAACACACCCAACCACACACAUACUCUCCAGCUAUUGUCUUGUGAUCUUUCUUCCCCUUCUAAUACUGUUAUUUUAACCACACACAAAAUGUGCAUGUAGGGGUAGAAUGGAAAGCAAACAUUCCAUGUACUUCUAUCUGUGUCCCCUAAGAGUGGACACAGAUCCCUUUUGUAAAUAAGGAUAGUUCCACAUUUUCAAAAAAUUAUAGAAAUUCAAAAGUCCCAAACUUUACCAAAAGGGGAAAUUUGGUUUUAGGAUGUGAGCACAUCAUCUAGAAACCAAAAAGAGAAAUGCAAGUCCACCGUGGACUGGCUUGGGGACAGAGACUCAAACACCAGCAGGAGUUUCUCCAGCCUUUCACUCACACUUUGCUGGGGUGUCAGUUUCACUUUUAAAUCUCUUGUUAUCAUAUCCCUCUCCGUCUCCUGUUCCAAGAAGAGGAAAUGACUUUGUCCUCCAUAGCUCUCCGAAAGAAAGAACCUAAACUUACAUCUCUGGUCUAUUUCCAGCGUCACAGGAAAGGCUCCUCAUUGGCGUGGCAAGCUGACCAGAGUUGAUUGGUGUUCUGUCUUUAGACCAAUGACAAACCACAAAGGCAGUGAUGUCAUAUAAGAACAUGGCGGCUCUGACGUAACCAAAUUAAUGAGUGGGGAUGGAGGGAGGGCAGGUUGAGAGGGAAGGUGAAGGUGUGGGUAGUGAGUGAAGGAGUCCACAAUUAGAGCAAUUGGUUUUCACAUCCAGGCAACUGAGAGGGGAAACAGUCAUAAUUACACUACUUAAAAAUAAUACUUGCAACUUUUCUUUUUUAAAAAUAUCAUUGAUUUUAUUUAUUUAACAGGCAGAGUUAGGUGGGGGAGAGUGCAGGGCCAGAGGAAUCUUCCUCGCCUGCAGGUUCACCCCACAAAGGCACUCCAUCAGGGACCCAAGCACUUGAGUCAUCUUCCACUGCUUUCCCAGGCACGUUAGCAGGGAGCAGGAUCAGAACUGAAGCAGCCAGGACUCAAACUGGCGUUCACAUGGGAUACUGGCAUUGUAGCCCACAACCUAACCUGCUGCACCACAGCGCCAGCCCCCACUUGGAUCAUCUUGGUAUUGUUUUAUCUCCACAGAUGGAACCACAUUUUCUAUUCAUGCUUUAAGGAAAAAUAAUGCUAGGAUUGUGCAUGUGUUUUCACACUUUCUUUUAAUAUUUUAUGUAUUUUCUUGUUUUAAAGAGAUUCAUUUAUUUAUUUAUAUUGAUUUGAAAGAUGUACUGACAGAGACACGAUGAGGGAGAGAGAGAGAGAGAGAGAGAGAGAGAGAGAGAGAGAGAGAGAAAGUCAGAGAGACGGAAAGAAAUUGAUCUUUCAUCCUCUGGUUUAUUCCUUAAAUGCCUACAACAGUCCAGGCUGGACCAGGCUGAGAAAGCCAGGAGCCAAGAACUCUACCUGGGCCUCCCACAUGAUGGCAGGGACCCAAGCAUUUGGGCCAUCAUCUGUUUCUUUCCCAGGAGCAUCAGCAGGAAGCUGGAUAGGAAGCAGAGUGGCUGAGACUUGAUCAGCACUCCCAUGUGGGACCCAGGUGUUCCAAGCAAUGACUUAACCUUUGCAUCACAAUGCCCACCUCUGUAUUUUCCAAAUACUGAGUCUGCUUUCAUCAUUUGAAAAAAAGUAAUUGAAUUAAUAAUAGAGGUAACUCAGGAAACAUCGUAUUUUUCAAAAUUUCAUUUCUGAUCAUGACUUGUGCCUAAAAGUCUGAUGUGUGGAUUGCAUUAUGAACUGAUCAGAUUUUUAUUGGGAAGAUAUUUUAAAGUCCAGAUAAUUGUGUCUAUAUGUUGAAACACUGGUAGCCAGUUUUCAGGCUCCUUAGUAAGAAGGAGUGUGGCUCAGCAAGUGUAACAGUAAAGCUAAUCUGUUGAAAUGAUUGCUGUAAGAGCUUUCGUAUUCAUUGCCUUAUAGUAAAAUUUACAGUAACUUUUUGUCACAAGAGAAGAUGUAUAAACUGGGAGAUUCUCUAUAGAUAUGCAUUUAUUUAUUUUGUGUGAUUAAUAUGUUACAAAAAUCAUGGAGUAAACCACAUUGCUAUUUUAUAACUUGUUUUUGUAAAUUCUAAACAAUCUCAUAUUCUGAAAAGGCUUCCUUCUCUUAAUUAAUGUUGAGUAUUAGAUGUCCAUGACUGUUAUCCCUGUAUAAUAUUUAUUUUUUAACUUUGUCCACAUCUAUUCCUGCUCAUCUACAGUAAAAUAAUUUUAUGGAAGAUAAAAUUACUGUACAAAGAAUACAGAAGGCAUUCCUUUUAUUAGAGAAUAAAGUUGGCCAACUAAAUUAUCCUAGUUUUUCUUAAAAUGGAUCUUGGGCAAAGAGAAACAUAAUCAGUGUAUUUAUCUUGUAAGAUGGAAAGACCUAUGCUGAGUCUGAUUAAUGUAAGAAGAUGUUGCAAAGAAUUGAUUUUAUAAAUCUUAAAGGAGAUGUGAUUGAAGGGAUUUAUCUUUUCUUGAUUUUUCCUUCUGAACAUUGAUGUCUUUAGAAAGUGAUCAACAUGAUGGUUUCAGGGCCUAAUUGUUGGUAAAUGGUUGAGACUCAGAUAAAAAUGUUAAUAUCCACUGUUUACCACCAUGUUAUUUGAAUUAGAAGUGACCAUGUAUAUUAUCUUGCUUGAAGAAGUAUUUGACAAAAAAAAGCAGUAUCUGUCAUUUGUAAAUUUUCUUGUUCUAAAGAAAGCAUUAUGUUCUAUAGAUAUAAAUUAUGUAAAUAAAAGUUAUUUUAUACCAAAAAAAA